rnacentral:rRNA from 1 species
GACGAACGCUGGCGGCGUGCUUAACACAUGCAAGUCGAGCGGUAAGGCCCUUUCGGGGGUACACGAGCGGCGAACGGGUGAGUAGCACGUGGGUGACCUGCCCUCAGCUCUGGGAUAAGCCUGGGAAACCGGGUCUAAUACCGGAUAUGACUCCAUGAUGCAUGUUGUGGGGUGGAAAGCCUUGUGCGGCUGAGGAUGGGCCCGCGGCCUAUCAGCUUGUUGGGGGGUGAUGGCCUACCAAGGCGACGACGGGUAGCCGGCCUGAGAGGGCGACCGGCCACACUGGGACUGAGACACGGCCCAGACUCCUACGGGAGGCAGCAGUGGGGAAUCUUGCGCAAUGGGCGAAAGCCUGACGCAGCGACGCCGCGUGAGGGAUGACGGCCU